GGGCGCGUAACUCAGUGGUAGAGUGCUCGCUUUGCAUGCGAGAAGUCCAGGGUUCAAUCCCCUGCCCGUCCA